rnacentral:rRNA from 1 species
UGGGGGAUAUUGCGCAAUGGGGGCAACCCUGACGCAGCAACGCCGCGUGAAGGAUGAAGGUUUUCGGAUUGUAAACUUCUUUUAUUAAGGACGAAACUUGACGGUACUUAAUGAAUAAGCUCCGGCUAACUACGUGCCAGCAGCCGCGGUAAUACGUAGGGAGCAAGCGUUGUCCGGAUUUACUGGGUGUAAAGGGUGCGUAGGCGGCUUUGCAAGUCAGAUGUGAAAUCUAUGGGCUCAACCCAUAAACUGCAUUUGAAACUGUAGAGCUUGAGUGAAGUAGAGGCAGGCGGAAUUCCCCGUGUAGCGGUGAAAUGCGUAGAUAUUAGGAGGAACAUCAGUGGCGAAGGCGGCUUACUGGGCUUUAACUGACGCUGAGGCUCGAAAGCGUGGGGAGCAAACAGGAUUAGAUACCCUGGUAGUCCACGCCGUAAACGAUGAUUACUAGGUGUGGGGGGACUGACCCCUUCCGUGCCGCAGCAAACGCAAUAAGUAAUCCACCUGGGGAGUACGACCGCAAGGUUGAAACUCAAAGGAAUUAACGGGGGCCCGCACAAGCAGUGGAGUAUGUGGAUUAAUUCGAAGCAACGCGAAGAACCUUACCAGGUCUUGACAUCGUAUGCAUAGCUCAGAGAUGAGUGAAAUCUCUUCGGAGACAUAUAGACAGGUGGUGCAUGGUUGUCGUCAGCUCGUGUCGUGAGAUGUUGGGUUAAGUCCCGCAACGAGCGCAACCCUUACUGUUAGUUGCUACGCAAGAGCACUCUAGCAGGACUGCCGUUGACAAAACGGAGGAAGGUGGGGAUGACGUCAAAUCAUCAUGCCCCUUAUGACCUGGGCCUCACACGUACUACAAUGGCUGUAAACAGAGGGAAGCAAAGCCGCGAGGUAGAGCGAACCCCUAAAAGCAGUCUUAGUUCGGAUUGUAGGCUGCAACCCGCCUACAUGAAGUCGGAAUUGCUAGUAAUCGCAGAUCAGCAUGCUGCGGUGAAUACGUUCCC